GUGCUGACAGUGGGUACCGUCACCCUCCUGCAGUCUGUGCUUCACGUGGACAUGUGUGCACUAUUUAUGUGGCUAAUAGGCUUCCUUACUGAGGGCAACGUUUACAUGCCAUAAAAAGUCCAUUAGCUGAAUUUAAGCUUCUCCAGAGAUCAUGGGGCCUAAUCUGUACUUGGCAUUUGACGUGGAGGGAAUUGAAAAUCCCAAGGACCCUUUCUGCUGGGCCAUUGCUGGGAUUGAAGAGAGAGCUUCGCUGAACGCGUGAGUAGGUGAAUGGAUGUAUUAGGUACCAAUCCCAGGACUAUCAGGCAGACUCAGGAAGCAGCACAUGGGGAACAUUCUCAGACUUGAUGCAUUAGCUGAUGACCCACAGUGCACCAAGGCUCCCCACUUUCUCCUGGAGUCGGGCCGCCUGUCAAGUCUCCAGCCCCUCAGAGGCUGGCUCUGGGCAGUCAGAUCUGUCUGCAUUUGCCCGAGGAGUCAUCUUUAUGCUCCUCCUGCUUCAGGGCAUUGUUUUGGUGCCAUACUCUGCAACCUCCAGUCUUGGCCCUCUGCCUGUUGUGUUGAACAGGUAGCCUGGGGAGAGGGACCUCCUGAGACAGCAGAAUGAUUUAAAGGCAUUCUGGUGAGAUUAAGCCUGGAAGCAACAAUUCCUUGUGGAAGAUGUGUGAGGGGAAAAAAUUAAGUGUGUCUUGCUCUGGCCUUCAAUUCAUGGAGAGCUGUAUGAAUUAGAACUCAGAUGGCAGAUCAUCAGUGAAAGAAAAUCUUGUUUAAGUAAACAUUUAACCCCUCACUCAUGUCUUCAUGACAUGGAGAUUAAGAGUGUGAACCCUAAUGUAGACUGCUUGGGUCCCAGUGUCACCGGUUACUAGCUGUGUGGUCUUGGGCAAGUCAUUUAAUUUCUCUGAGCAUAAAUUUCCUCAUCUAGAAAAUAGCAUCU